GACGAACGCUGGCGGCGUGCUUAACACAUGCAAGUCGAACGGUGAAGGGGUCUGCUUUUGUGGACCCUGGAUGAGUGGCGAACGGGUGAGUAACACGUGAGUAACCUGCCCCCUUCUUCUGGAUAACCGCAUGAAAGUGUGGCUAAUACGGGAUAUUCUGGGUCUGUCGCAUGAUGGGUCUGGGAAAGAUUGCGCCUUUGGGUGUUUUUGGUGGGGGAUGGGCUCGCGGCCUAUCAGCUUGUUGGUGGGGUGAUGGCCUACCAAGGCGGUGACGGGUAGCCGGCCUGAGAGGGUGGACGGUCACACUGGGACUGAGACACGGCCCAGACUCCUACGGGAGGCAGCAGUGGGGAAUAUUGCACAAUGGGCGCAAGCCUGAUGCAGCGACGCCGCGUGAGGGAUGGAGGCCUUCGGGUUGUAAACCUCUUUCGCCAGUGAAGCAGGCCUGCUCCUUGUGGGUGGGUUGACGGUAGCUGGAUAAGAAGCGCCGGCUAACUACGUG
rnacentral:rRNA from 1 species